UAAAAGACUGCGUUUAACGACUUGUUAAAUUUUUUCUUAGAUAGUUUUCUUUAUACAAACAUUAGCAAAAAGAUUUUACACGUUUAUAUUUCAUUCUCGAACUACUUUUUGUUUCGAAAAAAACUGAUUUGCAGCCGAAAAUAGCACAUCCGAUACUUGGUAUUUUAAUUAUAAAUACGUUAUAUUUACUACAUUCAUAUCAGCGCUAUUCUGGAAAGUUUUAGAAUUAUUAUUUAUCGUAUACAGCUGGAUAUUUUUUCAAUUUUUCUACUAUAUGAGCCAAACAUGAGGUGUUAGCUAAAGAAUAUCGGCACAAUGUCUAUUGGGACUAACGUGAAUCAUUGAGGAUUUUAGAUUCACAAAUGAAGAGUUCAUUACAUGAAGUUUUUUUAAAUUCAGUGUUUUUAUUUGAUUGUUUCUAUUGGAAAAAAAAACACCUUCACUUUAUUAAUAAAUAAAUAUCAGGGUGGACCAAGUUUUCUAGUUACGAAAUAUUGAAUUGUAGCUGGAGCAACAACAACAAAAAGCGAUUCCGAUGAAAGGCUCAACAUUGUAUUCAAAUUUAUAGUUGUUUUUUGGAAAGUUAAAUAUAUUUUUAAAAAUAAAA